rnacentral:rRNA from 1 species
GUGGGGAAUAUUGGACAAUGGGCGAAAGCCUGAUCCAGCAAUGCCGCGUGAGUGAAGAAGGCCUUAGGGUUGUAAAGCUCUUUUACCCGGGAAGAUAAUGACUGUACCGGGAGAAUAAGCCCCGGCUAACUCCGUGCCAGCAGCCGCGGUAAUACGGAGGGGGCUAGCGUUGUUCGGAAUUACUGGGCGUAAAGCGCACGUAGGCGGCUUUGUAAGUUAGAGGUGAAAGCCCAGGGCUCAACCCUGGAACUGCCUUUAAGACUGCAUCGCUUGAACACGGGAGAGGUGAGUGGAAUUCCGAGUGUAGAGGUGAAAUUCGUAGAUAUUCGGAAGAACACCAGUGGCGAAGGCGACUCACUGGACCGUUGUUGACGCUGAGGUGCGAAAGCGUGGGGAGCAAACAGGAUUAGAAACCCUGGUAGUCC